rnacentral:SRP_RNA from 1 species
GACAGCCCCUCGCGCGGCGUCACCUUAUGAACCUCCCCAGGGCCGGAAGGCAGCAAGGAUAAGUAAGCUCUGGCGGGUGCGCGGGGGGUCUUUCUG